rnacentral:rRNA from 1 species
AAAGACUUGACGGUACUUCACAACAGCCUAGAGGAGCCUGUCUAAUAACCGAUACUCCACGAUUAACCCAACCUGUUCUAGCCUAACAGUCUAUAUACCGCCGUCGCCAGCUUACCUUGUGAAAGUAAUAAAGUGAGCCCAACAAGUCACCCUUAAUACGACAGGUCGAGGUGUAACUUAUGAACAGGAAAAAGAUGGGCUACAUUUUCUAUAACAGAAUAUACGAACAAUCUAUGAAACUAGAAACCGAAGGCGGAUUUAGCAGUAUGAUAAGGAUAAAACACUUAACAGAAA